AGUGAACGCUGGCGGCGUGCCUAACACAUGCAAGUCGAACGAUGAUUGGAGAGCUUGCUCUUCAUGAUUAGUGGCGCACGGGUGAGUAACGCAUAGGUAACGUGCCCCUUAGAGGGGGAUAGCCACUGGAAACGGUGAUUAAUACCCCAUACUCCUUCUCAUCACAAGGUGAGUCGGGAAACGUAUUUCGCUAAGGGAUCGGCCUAUGUCCUAUCAGGUAGUUGGUGAGGUAAUGGCUCACCAAGCCUAUGACGGGUAUCUGGUUUGAGAGGAUGAUCAGACACACUGGAACUGAGACACGGUCCAGAAUCCUACGGGAGGCAGCAGUGAGGAAUAUUGCACAAUGGAGGAAACUCUGAUGCAGCAACGCCGCGUGGAGGAUGACGCAUUUCGGUGUGUAAACUCCUUUUAAGAGGGAAGAUUAUGACGGUACCUCUUGAAUAAGCACCGGCUAACUCCGUGCCAGCCGCCGCGGUAAAAC
rnacentral:rRNA from 1 species